rnacentral:lncRNA from 1 species
UUCAAUUCUCCAGAAGGCAAAUCGUUUUACUUUUGCAGUAUGAAAGAAUCCACAAAAACACCUUGAAGAGGCUUGUUUUAUAUUUUGAUAUACUACCCUUUGCGUUCCAAAGUUAACACUACAAAUGAAGCCAAAUAUGUCACACUUACCUAAGUCCAAACAUCCAUGCUUAGUCCAACAUUAACUGAAAAAUCCUGUGGGGGUAAAAUGCACUCCAGUGAAUAGAAACCACUUCUCACAGCGUGUCUUAUGCACAUGCACUGUAGGAUGGGGUCAGUGGCGAAGUUCAAAUAAGGAAGUCCCAAAUCCUAAAACCCAUUUUAAUAUCCGCAAGGUCAAUUAACCAUAACCAUUGUCCUGCCUGAAACUCCCAGUUGCCAUGAAUUCCUCACUAAUGAUAUUUCUCCAGGGUCUUCUGGAUUUUGCAGUUAUCUGCUUCAUUAGAACCAGGAACUUGUUUGAGCCCAGAGAGAGCCUGUGUGGUGACGUUCAAGAGGAGAGGAUAAGCCUGGGCCCUUGGAAAGGAUGCUGGAGG